GUGCUCCAUUCAACAGCCUAUAGACUAAAAUUGGAAUGAUACAGAGAUUACUUGCACGGCCCCUGCACAAGGGUGACACACAAAUUCAUGAAGUACUCCAUAUUUAA
rfam:Myotis davidii contig44387, whole genome shotgun sequence.